UACGAAGGGGGCUAGCGUUGCUCGGAAUUACUGGGCGUAAAGAGUGUGUAGGCGGUGCUCCCAGUCUGUUGUGAAAUCUCCCGGCUUAACUGGGAGGGUGCAGCGGAAACUAGAGUGCUAGAGGGUGGGAGAGGUAAGCGGAAUUCCCGGUGUAGCGGUGAAAUGCGCAGAUAUCGGGAGGAACACCGGUGGCGAAGGCGGUUCUCUGGGCCUUACCUGACGCUGAGGAGCGAAAGCGUGGGGAGCGAACAGG
rnacentral:rRNA from 1 species